UACGGGGGGCAAGCGUUGUUCGGAGUUACUGGGCGUAAAGGUGUGUAGGCGGUUCUUUAAGUUUGGUGUGAAUCUCCGGCUCAACCGGAGGUGCGCCAAAUACUGAGGACUAGAGUGCGGGAGAGGAAAGUGGAAUUCCUGGUGUGAGCGGUGAAAUGCGUAGAUAUCAGGAGGAACACCGGUGGUGUAGACGGCUUCUGGAC
rnacentral:rRNA from 1 species